GAACUACUCUCUCCGUUCGAAAUUACUUGUCGCAGAAAUGAAUGUAUCUAGACGUAUUUUAGUUCUAGAUACAUCCAUUUCCGAGACAAGUAAUUCCAAACGGAGGGAGUAGAUG
rfam:Triticum aestivum genome assembly, contig: Triticum_aestivum_CS42_TGACv1_scaffold_502324_6BL